rnacentral:tRNA from 2 species
UGUUCGGUAGCUCAUCAGGAAGAGCAGUCGGCGUCAGCCGACCUGUGGCGGGUUCGAAUCCCGUCCGAACAC